rnacentral:rRNA from 1 species
CCUACGGGAGGCAGCAGUGGGGAAUCUUGCACAAUGGAGGCAACUCUGAUGCAGCGACGCCGCGUGAGCGAUGAAGCCCCUCGGGGUGUAAAGCUCUUUCGGCAGGGACGCGGUACCUGAAGAAGAAGCUGCGGCUAACUACGUGCCAGCAGCCGCGGUAAUACGUAGGCAGCGAGCGUUGUUCGGAAUUACUGGGCGUAAAGAGUGUGUAGGCGGUGUUCCAAGUUCGGUGUGAAAUCUCCCGGCUUAACUGGGAGGGUGCGCCGAAAACUGGAAUGCUCGAGCGUGGGAGAGGAAAGCGGAAUUCCUGGUGUAGCGGUGAAAUGCGUAGAUAUCAGGAGGAACACCAGCGGUGUAGACGGCUUUCUGGACCAUGCUGACGCUGAGACACGAAAGCGUGGGUAGCAAACAGGAUUAGAUACCCUUGUAGUC